AACGAACGCUGGCGGCAUGCCUAACACAUGCAAGUCGAACGAGACCUUCGGGUCUAGUGGCGCACGGGUGCGUAACACGUGGGAAUUUGCCUCGGGGUAUGGAAUAAACUCAGGGAAACUUGAGCUAAUACCAUAUAAUGUCUUCGGACCAAAGAUUUAUCGCCCUGAGAUAAGCCCGCGUAGGAUUAGCUAGUUGGUGAGGUAAAGGCUCACCAAGGCGACGAUCCUUAGCUGGUCUGAGAGGAUGAUCAGCCACACUGGGACUGAGACACGGCCCAGACUCCUACGGGAGGCAGCAGUGGGGAAUAUUGGACAAUGGGCGAAAGCCUGAUCCAGCAAUGCCGCGUGAGUGAUGAAGGCCUUAGGGUUGUAAAGCUCUUUUACCCGGGUAUGAUAAUGACAGUACCGGGAGAAUAAGCUCCGGCUAACUCCGUGCCAGCAGCCGCGGUAAAGUAGUCGUGU
rnacentral:rRNA from 1 species